GGAGUUGUGGCUCAGUGGUAGAGCACUUGCCUAGUACAUGCAAGGUACUAGGUUCAAUCCUUAGCACCA
rnacentral:tRNA from 1 species